rnacentral:rRNA from 1 species
AACGAACGCUGGCGGCGCGUCUUAAACAUGCAAGUCGAACGGCAGGAAGGGGCUUGCCCCUUCUGAGAGUGGCGGACUGGUGAGUAACACGUGGGUGACAUACCUUUUAGUUGGGGAUAGCUAUUAGAAAUAGUAGGUAUUACCGAAUGUUACCGUACCUGUUAGAGGGGUACGAUGAAAGGAGCUAAUGCUUCGCUAAAAGAAUUGCUCGCGGCCCAUUAUGCUCGUUGGUGAGGUAACGGCCCACCAAGGCGAUGAUGGGUAUCCGGCCUGAGAGGGUGAACGGACACAUUGGGACUGAGAUACGGCCCAGACUUCUACGGGAGGCAGCAGUUAAGAAUAUUCCGCAAAGGACGAAAGUCUGACGGAGCGACGCCGCGUGGAUGAAGAAUGCCGAAAGGUUGUAAAAUACUUUUAAGCCUGAUGAAUAAGAACAGUAGGGAAUGAUUGUGCGGUGACCGUAGGGAUUGAAUAAGCACCGGCUAAUUACGUG